GAUGAACGCUGGCGGCGUGCCUAAUACAUGCAAGUCGAGCGAACGGACGAGAAGCUUGCUUCUCUGAUGUUAGCGGCGGACGGGUGAGUAACACGUGGAUAACCUACCUAUAAGACUGGGAUAACUUCGGGAAACCGGAGCUAAUACCGGAUAAUAUUUUGAACCGCAUGGUUCAAAAGUGAAGGACGGUCUUGCUGUCACUUAUAGAUGGAUCCGCGCUGCAUUAGCUAGUUGGUAAGGUAACGGCUUACCAAGGCAACGAUGCAUAGCCGACCUGAGAGGGUGAUCGGCCACACUGGAACUGAGACACGGUCCAGACUCCUACGGGAGGCAGCAGUAGGGAAUCUUCCGCAAUGGGCGAAAGCCUGACGGAGCAACGCCGCGUGAGUGAUGAAGGUCCUCGGAUCGUAAAACUCUGUUAUUAGGGAAGAACAUAUGUGUAAGUAACUGUGCACAUCUUGACGGUACCUAAUCAGAAAGCCACGGCUAACUACGUG
rnacentral:rRNA from 1 species